rnacentral:rRNA from 1 species
AUAAUGGGUCAGCGACUUAUAUUCUGUAGCAAGGUUAACCGAAUAGGGGAGCCGAAGGGAAACCGAGUCUUAACUGGGCGUUAAGUUGCAGGGUAUAGACCCGAAACCCGGUGAUCUAGCCAUGGGCAGGUUGAAGGUUGGGUAACACUAACUGGAGGACCGAACCGACUAAUGUUGAAAAAUUAGCGGAUGACUUGUGGCUGGGGGUGAAAGGCCAAUCAAACCGGGAGAUAGCUGGUUCUCCCCGAAAGCUAUUUAGGUAGCGCCUCGUGAAUUCAUCUCCGGGGGUAGAGCACUGUUUCGGCAAGGGGGUCAUCCCGACUUACCAACCCGAUGCAAACUGCGAAUACCGGAGAAUGUUAUCACGGGAGACACACGGCGGGUGCUAACGUCCGUCGUGAAGAGGGAAACAACCCAGACCGCCAGCUAAGGUCCCAAAGUCAUGGUUAAGUGGGAAACGAUGUGGGAAGGCCCAGACAGCCAGGAUGUUGGCUUAGAAGCAGCCAUCAUUUAAAGAAAGCGUAAUAGCUCACUGGUCGAGUCGGCCUGCGCGGAAGAUGUAACGGGGCUAAACCAUGCACCGAAGCUGCGGCAGCGACGCUGAUGCGUUGUUGGGUAGGGGAGCGUUCUGUAAGCCUGCGAAGGUGUGCUGUGAGGCAUGCUGGAGGUAUCAGAAGUG